UAUGUUGGUUUAAGUACUAAUUAGGCAUUCUCUUUAGUAGUGGACUGUAAUGCACACUGCCACGCUCCUGUAAGUAUUCAAAUGUAAAAUCUUGGGCGAAAAGAUUAAAGAUAGCGCUGAUGGUCGCAACGCGGAAGCCAAAAAGGGGGAAAAAAAAAAGAACGUUAACACGGCACUGUGUCCGCGUUUCAUUCUCUUGCACCUGUAUUUCGCACUGCACCCAUGCAUUACUGACGUAAGAUGCACGUAAGAUGCACCAAACGCGGGAAGCAUAUUGCGACCGAGACAUCCACCAUGCAGUACCCGGCUCCAGGGAGCAUUUGUACUCCAUUAGGCAUGCAGACUGCCACAUACCGAAUUCAUCAAAUUCAAUGCGUGGAAUACAUAAGCAGAUGCCUAUAUAGCUUUUAGGGUCGCUCGCAGAAACGCCCUCUCGCAGUAAUGCGAUGCAGCUACGGGCGCACGCUUCAUAUAUCGUGUCCUAGCUGCUAUAUACCAUAUAGAUUGACCCCGGAGCGGCCUCUUCGUGCGCCAGGAUUGCUCGCGAUAUAAAAACCCUGUCGAUUAACGUCAACGGAAGCGUGUGCGAAUGAAAACAGCAAAAGGCACGUGCGGACCAUAUAACAAAAAGCAGGCACAGUCGAUGCAACAUUAAUGUCGCUACAAAAAAAAAAAAAAAAAAAAAAAAAAAAAAAAAAAAAAAAAAAAGCCGGAGAC